rnacentral:tRNA from 3 species
GGAGAGGUGUCCGAGCGGCCGAAGGAGCGCGACUGGAAAUCGCGUACGCGUCGAAAGGCGUGUCGCGGGUUCAAAUCCCGCCCUCUCCG